UUAAAGAGUUUGGUGAUUUUACAUCCGAGUUAGUUCUGGCUGCACUGUUAGAAAUUUCUGAAAAUUGAACAGUAUUUGACUGUAAAAUGAACUGUAUUUUACUGUAGGACAGUUAUACAGCAUGUUACUGUAUUUUAAAGUAACAUUUUGGGAAAUAUCCUCUUGGCGCCACUAAAAUACAGUAUUUUUAAUUUACUGUAAAUCUAAAUACAGUUUAAAAACAAAAUAGCGCGAAACCUGACCAAUCACAGAAAAGCUGUUAUUUAUGCUUGGAGGAAGAAGAAAAGGAAGACAAACAGAUGCAAGAAGAACCAGUCAGAUGCUAAGGAGCUGGUGAGAAGCUAAAAGAUGGAAGCCGUCAUUAGAGGUGUUCUCCCAAUGCUGGAUGAUGAUCAACUUAACCACCUGAUAUCAGAAUUGACUAGAAUUGGUGUGAAAACAGACGAUGACCUCCAAUAUUAAACAUCAGAUGACCUCAAAGACUUCCUUUCACCAGCAGACUGCAGGAAAUUAAUUCAUUUUUUCAAAAUCAGAGGCAAUGAAAAUAUUCUAGCUACUCAGCCAAGCAACCGUCCGUACUCUUCUACAUUCCCUGUGCAGUGUCAUGGAUCCAGUCAAGUUACAAAUCAGAGUCCAAUAUCCACUCCAGUCCCAGUUCAAAGUGCAGCAUGGGUGUCAGAGUUUCAAAUACCCUGGGAGAUUAAAAUACCUUCAUAAACCACAAGAGUUAAGAUCCAACCCCAGUUAAGCAGACCCUUGCAGCUGAUCAAGGAUAAGCAGAAACUCUGCGUUGGUCCUCCAGCCCAGGACUGGACACCAGUGUUAGUCAUUAAGGAUCCAGCUUAUUCUUGAAACAUUGGUAAGAAAUUGUUCAUCUGCUACACUGCACUGUCACUUCUGCUAGAGAUUCAUUGACAUUUGUGACCCGUCACGGAAACCAGUGACACAAGUCGGC